GGGGAGGUACCUCAGUGGUAGAGCCCCUACCUAACAUGCAGGAUUCCCUGGGUCUAAUUCCCAGCCCCCCCU
rnacentral:tRNA from 1 species